GCAUUAGUGAUUCAAUGGAAGAAUUUUUGCCUGUCACUCUAAAUACCUGGGUUCUAAUCAUGGCCAAUGCC
rnacentral:tRNA from 1 species